rnacentral:rRNA from 1 species
CCUACGGGCGGCAGCAGUGAGGAAUAUUGGGCAAUGGACGAGAGUCUGAACCAGCCAAGUAGCGUGAAGGAUGACUGCCCUAUGGGUUGUAAACUUCUUUUAUAUGGGAAUAAAAUGUUCCACGUGUGGGAUUUUGUAUGUACCAUAUGAAUAAGGAUCGGCUAACUCCGUGCCAGCAGCCGCGGUAAUACGGAGGAUCCGAGCGUUAUCCGGAUUUAUUGGGUUUAAAGGGAGCGUAGGUGGAUUGUUAAGUCAGUUGUGAAAGUUUGCGGCUCAACCGUAAAAUUGCAGUUGAAACUGGCAGUCUUGAGUACAGUAGAGGUGGGCGGAAUUCGUGGUGUAGCGGUGAAAUGCUUAGAUAUCACGAAGAACUCCGAUUGCGAAGGCAGUUCACUGGACUGCAACUGACACUGAGGCUCGAAAGUGUGGGUAUCAAACAGGAUUAGAUACCCCAGUAGUC